AACAAGGAUUCCCCUAGUAACUGCGAGUGAAGCGGGAAAAGCUCAAAUUUAAAAUCUGGCGGUCUCUGGCCGUCCGAGUUGUAAUGCUAGAGAAGUAAUGCCCGUGCUGGACCGUGUAUAAGUCUCCUGGGAUGGGGCGUCAUAGAGGGUGAGAAUCCCGUCUUUGACACGGACUACCAGUGCAUUGUGGUAUGCUCUCAAAGAGUCGAGUUGUUUGGGAAUGCAGCUCAAAAUGGGUGGUAAAUUCCAUCUAAAGCUAAAUAUUGGCGAGAGACCGAUAGCGAACAAGUACCGUGAGGGAAAGAUGAAAAGAACUUUGGAAAGAGAGUUAAACAGUACGUGAAAUUGCUGAAAGGGAAACGCUUGAAGUCAGUCGCGUUGGCCAGGGAUCAGCCUUGCUUUUGCAUGGUGUACUUUCUGGUUGACGGGUCAGCAUCAAUUUUGACCGCUGGAAAAGGGCCUGGGGAAUGUGGCAGCUUCGGCUGUGUUAUAGCCCCUGGUCGCAUACAGUGGUUGGGAUUGAGGAACUCAGCAC
rnacentral:rRNA from 1 species